rnacentral:rRNA from 1 species
AUGGCCUGCAGGCGGUUGAAGGCCCCCGGACUGAAUUGUGUCUUCUCCAUCAAACAAGGUCUCAACAUGUUCAUCGUAGAAGACAAAGGCAGUGCCAUUGCUCUCAUGUGUGCCGCCCUCCUCUUCUUGGGCACAUGGCCAGCAUUGCUCACCCUGUUGGAGCGCAGGGGACGGCUACCGCAGCACACGUACCUUGAUUACUCAAUCACCAACCUCCUCGCCGCAGUCCUCAUUGCGCUCACCUUGGGCCAGCUUGGGGAGAGCAAGCAAAACAUGCCCAAUUUCUUCACCCAACUCACUCAGGAUAACUGGCCUUCGGUGCUGUUUGCAAUGGCAGGGGGUCUUGUGCUCAGUAUUGGGAACCUUUCUACACAGUAUGCUUGGGCAUAUGUGGGUCUCUCAGUUACUGAGGUUAUAUGUGCAAGUAUGGUUGUUGUAAUAGGUUAG